UAUGAUUCUAUUAUUCUACCAUCCACACUUCCAAAUUAAGAGAAGAUUAGCAUGGCCCCUGCACAAGGAUGACACACAAAUUCGUGAAGCCUUCCAUAUUUUU